AGAACGAACGCUGGCGGCAUGCCUAACACAUGCAAGUCGAACGAGACCUUCGGGUCUAGUGGCGCACGGGUGCGUAACGCGUGGGAAUCUGCCCCUUGGUUCGGAAUAACAGUUAGAAAUGACUGCUAAUACCGGAUGACGACGUAAGUCCAAAGAUUUAUCGCCGAGGGAUGAGCCCGCGUAGGAUUAGCUAGUUGGUGAGGUAAUGGCUCACCAAGGCGACGAUCCUUAGCUGGUCUGAGAGGAUGAUCAGCCACACUGGGACUGAGACACGGCCCAGACUCCUACGGGAGGCAGCAGUGGGGAAUAUUGGACAAUGGGCGAAAGCCUGAUCCAGCAAUGCCGCGUGAGUGAUGAAGGCCUAGGGUUGUAAAGCUCUUUACCAGGGAUGAUAAUGACAGUACCUGGAGAAUAAGCUCCGGCUAACUCCGCGCCAGCAGCCGC
rnacentral:rRNA from 1 species